rnacentral:misc_RNA from 1 species
GUGAGUCAUCGAAUCUUUGAACGCACAUUGCGCCCGCUAGUAUUCUGGCGGGCAUGCCUGUUCGAGCGUCAUUUCAACCAUCAAGCCCCUGUGCUUGUGUUGGAGCCCUGCGGCUGCCGCAGGCUCCCAAACCCAGUGGCGGGCUCGUCGUCGUACCGAGUGCAGUAAACUUACCACGCUCAGGGCACGCGACGGGUGACCGGCCGUAAAACCCCCUACUUCUCAAAGGUUGACCUCGGAUCAGGUAGGAAUACCCGCUGAACUUAAGCAUAUCAAUAAGCGGAGGA